rnacentral:rRNA from 1 species
GUAAUGCGUAGGAAGCUGCCCGAUAGAGGGGGAUACCAGUUGGAAACGACUGUUAAUACCGCAUAAUGUCUACGGGCCAAGGUGUGGGACCUUCGGGCCACAUGCUAUCGGAUGCGCCUACGUGGGAUUAGCUAGUUAGUGAGGUAAUGGCUCACCAAGGCGACGAUCUCUAGCUGGUUUGAGAGGAUGAUCAGCCACACUGGAACUGAGACACGGUCCAGACUCCUACGGGAGGCAGCAGUGGGGAAUAUUGGACAAUGGGCGCAAGCCUGAUCCAGCCAUGCCGCGUGUGUGAAGAAGGCCUUCGGGUUGUAAAGCACUUUCAGCGAGGAGGAAGGGAUGUAUGUUAAUAGCAUGCAUUUUUGACGUUACUCGCAGAAGAAGCACCGGCUAACUCUGUGCCAGCAGCCGCGGUAAUACAGAGGGUGCAAGCGUUAAUCGGAAUUACUGGGCGUAAAGCGCACGUAGGCGGUUUGUUAAGUUGGAUGUGAAAGCCCCGGGCUCAACCUGGGAAUUGCAUUCAAAACUGGCCAACUAGAGUAUGUGAGAGGGGGGUAGAAUUCCAAGUGUAGCGGUGAAAUGCGUAGAGAUUUGGAGGAAUACCAGUGGCGAAGGCGGCCCCCUGGCACAAUACUGACGCUGAGGUG